AUGGACGCGCACACCGGCACCCCGCUCACCCCGUUGUACAGCCGCGACCCCCCCGCCGCCGCAGCCGCCGCCGUCGCCGGAAACCCUAGCGCGGGGAGCGUUGGCGUCGCCAGCGCCGGAGCUCCGCCGAGCGUCGGCCUCGCGCGCAGCCUCUUCUUGCCGCUGCGGAUGACCACGGCGCCGGGUGGCGUCACGCCGGCGCCGUCCCGUGCCGCCGCCGCACCGUCGAAGGUCCCCAACGCGACGCGGCCGAAGAAGGGCAAAACAUCCGCGAAGAAGAACCAAGGCGGCAGACGGCUCCGGCAGCACGAAGGCGAGGGGAAAGAAGCUUGCAGGGCGUUCGACGGCCGCGGCGGCUACCGAAGCGCCGGCGAGCUCACUCGUUGA
rnacentral:rRNA from 1 species